GACGAACGCUGGCGGCGUGCCUAAUACAUGCAAGUCGAACGCAGUUGCGAACGGGUGAGUAACGCGUAGGUAACUGCCUCUUAGCGGGGGAUCACUUUUGGAAACGAUAGCUAAUACCGCAUACUGUGAGAUGGACCUGACUUGUAUUAGCUAGUUGGUGAGGUAAAGGCUCACCAAGGCGACGAUACAUUGCCGACCUGAGAGGGUGAUCGGCCACACUGGGACUGAGACACGGCCCAGACUCCUACGGGAGGCAGCAGUGGGGAAUAUUGCACAAUGGGCGCAAGCCUGAUGCAGCCAUGCCGCGUGAAUGAAGAAGGCCUUCGGGUUGUAAAGUACUUUCGGCGGGGAGGCGUUACCCGAAGAAGAAGCACCGGCUAACUCCGUGCCAGCAGCCGCGGUAAUAC
rnacentral:rRNA from 1 species